rnacentral:tRNA from 1 species
GGAGGGGUGGCAGAGUGGUCGAAUGCACCGGUCUUGAAAACCGGCGUGGGUGCAAGCCCACCGUGGGUUCGAAUCCCACCCCCUCCGCCA